rnacentral:rRNA from 1 species
CCCCUAGACGUUCUGGGCUGCACGCGCGCUACAAUAAUACGCACAGCGAGUAUCACCGAGCUCGAAAGGGCAAGGUAAACAAUAGAAAAGGUACUGUAAUGGUUAUAGAUCCUUGUAAUUAUUGAUCUUCAACGAGGAAUUCCUAGUAAGUAUGUGUCAUCAUCACGCACUGAUUACGUCCCUGCCCUUUGUACACACCGCCCGUCGCUCCUACCGAUUGAAUGCUCAGGUGAGCCAUUCGGACUUUCAUCAUGCUGGUUUCCAGUUUUGAUGAAGGAAAGUCUUGCGAACCUUAUCAUUUAGAGGAGGGAGAAGUCGUAACA